CCCAUGUUUGCUCAGGGCUCAAAGCCCAGAGGAGCUGGGCCACAGAAUCUGUGGAGGAACUAUAGCCUACCUAUGUGCCCAGGCUUUUACAACAGACUAUAGUAACUCAUCUUAGAAAGUGUCUGGGGUGAGGACUGGACAUAUUCCACACACCAGGUAGCAGGCUUUCCUGAGCCUGGCCCUGUGCCCUAGCUCCAAUAGACUCACUCCACAUUCAUACUGGGUAGGUCUGGGUUCCAGAGGCCUGUAAAGUCAGAGACAGUCCUCAAGAUCUGGGUGACCUCGGUGGGGGAGGGGAGAGAAGGCUCUGCAGAUACUCUCAUCAGAAUGCACACCCUUUCCCAACACCCUCAGCUUCUGGGUGAGCCAGCCUCCUCCACAGAAGCUAGUCUUUGUUAACAGUGUUGUCAUGGCAACUGCAUCCAGGGAGAACUCUCUCUUUAAGGUAGAGUCUGAGGGUGAUACUUGGAGAAAACUGAAAUGGUAGUGUCAGGCAGGGCACUGACCCCCCCAGCUCUGUCCCCACUUAUCCCUCCAGGACAGGUCCUCUCCCCACACCCUCUUCCUGUCCCAGAGCUCUUAAGUCUAUUCCUCUCUCUUCUCCUGAAGGUGGAGAACAACAUGUCUUAUGCCUCUAUGUAAAAUGUUCUCAGACACAGAUCUCCACCUCUUCCCUGAUGUGCCCAGCAGCUCAGAGAACCCAAACUGCACCUCCUCAGAAUGGCCGGAGUCCAGGAGAUGGGAGGUCCAAAAGGACUGAGUAGACAGGUCUAGGGAAUCACUGACAGACAAGACACUUGGAGACACUCAAUGAACAGACUUUGGGUACUUCUAUAUCAUGUCCACACAGGAAGACUCACUUAAAAAAUGUUAAGGGCCGGGGUUGGGGAUUUAGCUCAGUGGUAGAGCGCUUGCCUAGCAAGCACAAGGCCCUGGGUUCGGUCCCCAGCUCCAAAAAAAAAAAAAAAAGAAAAGAAAAGAAAAGAAAAAAAUGUUAAGGGCCAAGGGAGACGUAACAGAGACCAUACCUGUGUAGGGCAAGUGUAUCGUAGGAAGGAAGCCAUUGAAAUUGUUCAGGCUCAGAAGAAAGGACACCAGAAGUGGAAGGGGGUGUUCAAGACAAGUCUAGGGUGGGCUAGGCCAGCCUGGAUGUUGCCUUAAUGUAAGAGGGGUCUGCAGCUGGCUGUUCAGAUGGUAAUAUUGAGACAGGUGAGGCUCUGGGGAAGGAUGGUAGUAGAUUGGUUACCCAUGGUUACCCAGGAAACCAGCAUACACAGUUCACAUGCUAAAGGAGCCCCAGGUCCAAGCUGGGGCUACGGGGAGACCGGGCCAGCUCAGUGUGAAGAAAGGAAGCUGUAGCUGUAGGGCCCAGGUCCUGACAGAUAAAAACACGGACUGUCCUCGGACAAGAAGUAAAGCCAUAGAGAGGCCUCCAGGGAGGUCAAAGGAGAGGGAGGACCAAGAGCCAGGCAGCCAGACCUGGAUACCGAGCAUCUGGAAUCCGGGACGGUGAAGUCCACAGCCUCUGCAGUGGGUCUCCCUGAUGAAGGGGUAACACUGAAUGGUACUUAAGGCAGCCACUUGCCAGCUCUCCCAGAACACAAGGCACUUUCCAGAUCUGAGCUGCAACAUCCUGGCCCUUUGGACUCUGCCUGCCCUGCCAUGUUCUAGUCACACCAUGGCCCUGCUGAUGCCAGCCACCCUUUCCCAACUGUGUCCUAGGAUUGCUGUAUGGAACCCUCCUGGUGACCCCAACCCAACAACAUUGUUCCGAUGGACUCGUUAACAGCUUGCCCACUCUGAACUGGGCCAGGAAAUCCCUUGUGUCUAACUCUCAAAUGGAUCAACAGCCCCAAUCUCUAGGCCAGAAAGAUGUGAGAAAGGCAGAUCACCAAAGUGAAAUGGCUCAUGUGUCCCCAAAGGGGACCCCAAAGGGCCAGGGUACCAGGGCCAUUCCCCCAGAGUCAUCACCUUCAAGAUGCCCCACAGUACCCCUGCCUCCUCCCUUCCUCAGCACAUCACUUCCUUGCUAAGUGCACACUCACAGGCAGGAGGGAAGUGGGCAAGCUAGAGCAAAGAAACCUGGGAGGCAGCCUGGAGUGGGCGGAAAUCACACAAGGCAGAUUCUGGAAGCUCUGAGAGAAAAACAGCCAGAGCAGACCAUAGCUGGAGCAGAUGGCCUCAGAAGGAGAAGCAGGAAGGAGGGAGGGAGGAGUCCCAUCCGAGAGCAGAAGGUAGAGACCUGGCAGAGUCCAGAGAUGCCUUGACCAGGUCUCUUCCCAGCAGGGCCUCACCUAUGGCAUAGAGCCAGGCAGACAUGGGCAUCACUGUCUACUGAGACCCUCCAUAGCAGGGAGGAGCUCACCACCCCCUGCCUUGGCAUGGCAUUCUCUCUCGACCUAUUUUGUGAUGUAGCUUCUGGGAGACAGCAGUUCUAAGACCGUUCCAAGGCCCUGUCGGCUGCCUGGACAACACUAGCCAAAGCCCCAAGCCAGUGUGGAGUGGUCCUCACCAAGGAGGGAAGACGUGACUACAUGUAAAUUCAGCCAACUAAGCUGUUCACCGCAGGCCCCUUUGAAGUAGUUCUACUGGAUGAAGAAACAGACCACUCCAGCAUAUUCCAAAUUCUACUUGCCUCUCCAGGACCCAGCAACCACGUAGGCAAGCCUGCUCCUCACCUGUGUACUGGGGGAGAGACUUUAACCCCUCAACGAGGCCUCUGUAGGGCCCAGCAUCUUCCCUCCUCUUUCGACUCUCUUCCUCCCUCUCCUCUCCUUCCUCCUCUGUCUGCAGUUGCUAAGUUACACCAAAACCCGAUGUGUUCUGUAUGAACGGUUCCAUUGCUAUGAUUUGCCAGGUAAAAGACAGCUAUCCACUGGCAGCAGGAAGACACACCUCAGAAAAACAAAACAAAACAAAACAGCAAACUCCUGGAUGGUUUUUGGACCAGGACACUGGCACCCCUGUCUGAGAACAUCUGCUUGGGCUCCCAAAGCCCAGGGGACACGAGCAAGAGAACACAGCUUCCACACCUUAUCAUGCAAUCUGUUACUCUCUUCUCAGAAGCAGAGGCUAUGGGCCCAGGAAAACACACACAUACACACACACACACACACACACACACACACACACACACACACACACACUUCAAGCUGAUGACCACCCAAAGGGUUGCUGGACCAUUACAGUCCAAAGCCAUAGAAGAAAAAAAGAAAAAAGAAAUGCUGGCCAGGCAGGGAACUCACUUUUCUGUCCCCAGACCACACAACUUGGAGUCCCUGAUGUCCUCCUACCCUGGAGCUCCUUCCUGGGCUAAGGUACUAUGGCCCUAAAGUGGUACAUGAAGGCCAGCAUGGAAAUCCCCAGGAGUGUUAAGAACCAUGGUAUGAUUCUGUUGAAGCCAGGUCUCGGAGGGGCCUGCAGCCCGCCCAUGGCUCACAAGUCUCCCAACUCUCCACCAGGAUAAGGGGUGCUGUUUUGCUCUGGAGAGCCCAAGCCCCAGCAGAGAAGGUUCUUGCCCACAGAGGCUGAAGUGGACAAGACCAAAUCAAGAAGAAAAUGGGAGAGCCCUGGGAAAUGAAGGCCCCUGAGUGCCGAUCUAAACCCAGAGCAGGAGGCCAUCUGAGUCUUUCCCUUGUCCUACAGUGGGAUACAGCUAAUAAAAGCAGGUGAUGUGAACAUAAA